rnacentral:rRNA from 1 species
UGGGGAAUAUUGGACAAUGGGCGCAAGCCUGAUCCAGCCAUGCCGCGUGAGUGACGAAGGCCUUAGGGUUGUAAAGCUCUUUUGGCGGGGAAGAUAAUGACGGUACCCGCAGAAUAAGCUCCGGCUAACUUCGUGCCAGCAGCCGCGGUAAUACGAAGGGAGCUAGCGUUGUUCGGAAUCACUGGGCGUAAAGCGCACGUAGGUGGGCAGUUAAGUCAGGGGUGAAAGCCCGAGGCUCAACCUCGGAAUUGCCUCUGAUACUGGCUGUCUAGAGUUCGAGAGAGGUGAGUGGAAUUCCUAGUGUAGAGGUGAAAUUCGUAGAUAUUGGGAAGAACACCAGUGGCGAAGGCGGCCAUCUGGUCCGGUACUGACGCUGAGGCGCGAAAGCGUGGGGAGCAAACAGGAUUAGAUACCCGUGUAGUCCCUGAGCGGGCUGGCAAGGCGCAU